rnacentral:lncRNA from 1 species
GGCGGCUUUUGGUGGAAAGAUUUAUCAUAUCAGGCUUCCAGUUCCUGCUUCUGUUCAUUUCUUCCAUUCUUCCAUAGGUUUUGCCAAACACCUCCCUGAUCCUUAAUAUCAUGCCUCAUUGCAGGCUCAAAGUCCAAAAGACUGUCAAAGAUUCCCAGCAAAAGGAACAGAGGGCCUUACAAGGGCACCAUAAAUCAGCUGCAAACUGGAGGAAUGCUAAUUGAUAUCAGGUGUCAUGCCUGCAUGUAUGUCUGUACAACUUGUGUGUGCCUGCUGCCUGAGGAGGCAAGAAGAUGGUGUUGUUUCUCCUGGGACUGAAAUUACAGACAAUUGUGAGCCACCACGUGGGUACUGGGAAUCAAACCUGGGUCCCCUGGAAGAACAGCAAGUACUCUGAACCACCUUGCCGUGUCUUCAGCCCUCUUUUUUGUUUGUUUGUCUGUUUUUAAAACUGACUUCCGCCGAUUUUAUUUUUUCUCCAUUUUUUAUUUAAAUUAGAAACAAGAUUAUUUUACAUGUCGAUCCCAGUUCCCUCUCCCUCUCCUCCUCCCCUGACCCCCCACUGACACCCUACCUAUCCCAUACAAUUUCAGCUCCCUAGGGAGAGUGAGGCCAUCCAUGG